rnacentral:rRNA from 1 species
CAGGCCUAACACAUGCAAGUCGAGCGCGAAUAGGGGCAACCCUUAGUAGAGCGGCGCACGGGUGCGUAACACGUGGGUAAUCUGCCUGGAAGCCUGAGAUAACUACCCGAAAGGGUAGCUAAUAUCAGAUGAGACCACGGGCCCUUCGGGGCCUGAGGGAAAAGGAGGCCUCUGUAUACAAGCUUUCACUUCCAGAUGAGCCCGCGGCCCAUCAGCUAGUUGGCGGGGUAAUGGCCCACCAAGGCAACGACGGGUAGCUGGUCUGAGAGGACGAUCAGCCACACUGGAACUGAGACACGGUCCAGACUCCUACGGGAGGCAGCAGUGGGGAAUUUUGCGCAAUGGGCGAAAGCCUGACGCAGCAACGCCGCGUGUGUGAUGAAGGUCUUCGGAUUGUAAAGCACUUUCGACCGGGACGAAACCCUCAAGCCUAAUACGCUUGAGUCUGACGGUACCGGGAGAAGAAGCACCGGCUAACUCUGUGCCAGCAGCCGCGGUAAU